AAGGAAAAGAAGAAGAAGAAGAAGACUUGUUAUUCCAGAUGCCACACCUGCAGUUUCAUCGCUUCCUGUUUAGGAGUUGAACAUCAGGUUUUGUUUUUAUCUCUUUACUCGGUUCUGGUUCUGGUUCUGGUUCUGGUGUUUGUCUGGAUUCCAGGUGUUAGAAAAUGUCCGCAGUUACCUGGUUGCUCUGCGGACUCUCUCUGCUCUCUGCCAGACUUCCAGUCUUUGUCUCCGCAGAUCAGACGAUCCGAGCUGAACAUGGACAGACGGUCGCUCUGCCGUGCCGCCUGGCCAGCAGAGACCCGGUUCUGGUGGUGGAGUGGAGCAGAACCGAUCUGGGCUCAGAUUACGUUCUCCUGUUUCGGGACGAGCAGAUCGACCCGUUUAACCAGCAUCCGUCCUAUCAGAACCGGGUCGGACUGAAGGACCUGGAGAACAGAGACGUGUCUCUGGUUCUGGUGGACGGGACGACUGAUGACAACGGGACGUACGAGUGUCGGGUCGUUCAGACCGGAAAGAACCGCAGGAAGCAACUAAUCAGCUCCGUCCACCUGGUUGUAGCUCCGCCCCCUCCUUCAGCUCGCUUUGAGAAACUCACAGGAGACCAGAGAACCCGGACCGGAUCAGAGGAGGAGGGAGGAAGCCAGGAGCUGUUGACCUCUGACCCUACAGCUGGAAGUGAAGCUGAAGUGACCAAAUAUGGAGGAAGCCUUGUUGGGGAGGUGCAGCUAGCUGAAGCAUUAAAAGUUCAGUUCGUUCAACAGAACCAGGAUGGAGAGAAGAAGAACCAGAGCAGAACGGUUCCUGGACUGAUUGUUUCUCUCUUCCUCUUCUCUCUGGUUGUUUCUGCGUUUAUUUCUUUAACUCUGUGGAAGAAGAAACGACCUGAAACUCAUCGUCCAGUGAUCUGACUGAAACUCAUCGUCCAGUGAUCUGACUGAAACUCAUCGUCCAGUGGUUCCUGUUAAUCUGCAGACCUGAUGCAGAAAUAUGUUGCAACUUCCCAGCAUCUGACUGGAUUCUGGAUUCAGCUGAAGCCGUUCUGGUGAAACUGGACCCGGAAAAAGUUCUGCUGCAGGAAAUGAACCAGGAUGAAAAUAUCCAAACACUCGUCUCACUAAUUCACCACUUAAAUCUCUUCUGAUAUUUCUGUCGCAAAUGUCUGACUUUAUAAUUUGCUUUUUUCAUGCAACUUCUUAACUUUACAAGAAAUUAUUUCAAUUUUAAUAUUGUAAAUUCUUUAGUUUGUUUUCUGGCCAAUUUAUUCAGCUUUACAUCUAAAUAUUAUUUUUACUUCUAUGAAUAUUCCAUGUUUUUUGCUUGUUAGAAGUUUUGUUUUAUUUUGUUUGGGUCAAAUUUUCUCCUGCAUGUAGAAAAAGUUUUCUUCUUUAAUCUGUGGUGGCUCUGAUUCUCUAGAGUUCAGUUUAUAAAGUAAAUGAUUGUAGUAAUUGUUUGGGUUCUGUCCUUUAUGCAGUUUAAUUGUCUUACAUAAACAGAGUUUUAUUUUUCACAGACUGUUUAAUCAGAAACUUUUUAUUGAGUUUAUUUAGGAUAUAAAAUGAUCAUAAAAUAAAAAUUAUAUAAACAGA